rnacentral:rRNA from 1 species
GAUGAACGCUGGCGGCGUGCCUAAUACAUGCAAGUCGAGCGAACAGACGAGGAGCUUGCUCCUCUGACGUUAGCGGCGGACGGGUGAGUAACACGUGGAUAACCUACCUAUAAGACUGGGAUAACUUCGGGAAACCGGAGCUAAUACCGGAUAAUAUAUUGAACCGCAUGGUUCAAUAGUGAAAGACGGUUUUGCUGUCACUUAUAGAUGGAUCCGCGCCGCAUUAGCUAGUUGGUAAGGUAACGGCUUACCAAGGCAACGAUGCGUAGCCGACCUGAGAGGGUGAUCGGCCACACUGGAACUGAGACACGGUCCAGACUCCUACGGGAGGCAGCAGUAGGGAAUCUGCCGCAAUGGGCGAAAGCCUGACGGAGCAACGCCGCGUGAGUGAUGAAGGUCUGCGGAUCGUAAAACUCUGUUAUUAGGGAAGAACAAAUGUGUAAGUAACGAUGCACGUCUUGACGGUACCUAAUCAGAAAGCCACGGCUAACUACGU